AUUCUUCGGGGCGGAGUGAAAGUCUCCACCGGCGGUAUUUAGCAUGGAAGCUAUAAGCCCGCGAGCCGCAUGGCAUGACCUGGUGAGAAUCCGGGGCCGACAGUAUAGUCUGGAUGUGAGAAGU
rnacentral:ncRNA from 1 species